GAGUUUGAUUCUGGCUCAGGACGAACGCUGGCGGCGUGCUUAACACAUGCAAGUCGAACGAAAAGACGGAAAGAGCUUGCUCUUUUCAGAAUUGAGUGGCAAACGGGUGAGUAACACGUAAACAACCUGCCUUCAGGAUGGGGACAACAGACGGAAACGACUGCUAAUACCGAAUAAGUUCCAAGAGCCGCAUGGCCCAUGGAAGAAAAGGUGGCCUCUACCUGUAAGCUAUCGCCUGAAGAGGGGUUUGCGUCUGAUUAGCUGGUUGGAGGGGUAACGGCCCACCAAGGCGACGAUCAGUAGCCGGUCUGAGAGGAUGAACGGCCACACUGGAACUGAGACACGGUCCAGACUCCUACGGGAGGCAGCAGUGGGGAAUCUUCCGCAAUGGGCGAAAGCCUGACGGAGCAACGCCGCGUGAGUGAUGACGGCCUUCGGGUUGUAAAACUCUGUGAUCCGGGACGAAAAGGCAGAGUGCGAAGAACAAACUGCAUGGACGGUGCCG
rnacentral:rRNA from 1 species